rnacentral:lncRNA from 1 species
CUCCGAAUGUGGGUGAUAGAAGGCAGUGUGGUCUGAGUUCUGGGCAGUUGGCAUGGCUCCAGCCUCCCACAGAGGCACCAGGAAGAAGCCUCCCGUCCCAGUUUUUCUUAGACUCUGCAGGGCUGGGCACAGGGAGGGCCGGGCCCACGGGGCUUAGUUACUUCUUAUCGGCUUAUCUACUACUUCUUGUCUGAGGAUCCCAGGCAUGCUCAGGGCAAGGAGAACGCACUGAGUUCCAAGGACCAAGCCCUUUUCAGCAUCUCAGGAGUUGUGAUCCUCACGCUGGGCCUCUCCCAGACAGUUUGGGGCACUUGUGGAGCCAGAAAGCCGGUCUUCCUGUUCCUGGCUAGAACCCUCUUCUGCUAUAGUGACCUUGACGACCCCGGUGCAGCUCUCCAGCCUCUGGCUCUUAGUCUCCGCCACCAUAGUGUCCCGGGUUCCUGCUCCCAAGAACAAAUCCAGAUGGAGGUGAAGGGAGACAAAGCCCUGCUCCUGGUGGAAUGGGAAGUGGGACUCACCUCUGUUUGUAAACAAGAAGGAAACUGAUUCCACCUGAACUUCACUGAAGCUUGAAUUAUCCUUUUUA